GGAUGCGAUCAUACCAGCACUAGAGCACCGGAUCCCAUCAGAACUCCGAAGUUAAGCGUGCUUGGGCGAGAGUAGUACUAGGCUGGGUGACCUCCUGGGAAGUCCUCGUGUUGCAUUCCC
rnacentral:rRNA from 1 species